rnacentral:rRNA from 1 species
CCCUUAGAUGUCCUGGGCCGCACGCGCGCUACACUGACGGAGCCAGCGAGCUUACCCCUUUGCCGAAAGGCAUGGGAAAUCUUUUGAAUCUCCGUCGUGCUGGGGAUAGAUCAUUGCAAUUAUUGAUCUUGAACGAGGAAUUCCUAGUAAGCGCAAGUCAUCAACUUGCGUUGAUUACGUCCCUGCCCUUUGUACACACCGCCCGUCGCUCCUACCGAUUGGGUGUGCUGGUGAAAUGUUCGGAUCGGCCGUUUGUCGCGGUUUCCGCGGCUCGUGGCUGAGAAGUUCAUUAAACCCUCCCACCUAGAGGAAGGAGAAGUCGUAACA